AUCUACAACAACCAUUGGUCUUAGCGUCCUAUCUCUGUAUUUUGCUUUUGAGGUCACUUUUGAUAAGCCAAAAAUAAUUAUAGAAAGAAAUCUGUGGUGAUAUCCAAACUCUAAAACAACCCAGGAGUGACGGCCAUCCAGGGAGAGCUGCUGAAACGUUUUGGAAUAAAACCUGGGCAAGCCAACAACAGGCCCUGUUCUACAGGAUGCAACUUCAGGGACUUCAGGAAAGUCUUUCUGAUUUUAAGGAAGUUGAAUGAUGCAAUCCAACCAUGUGACCAGAAGCAGUAGUAACGGAACAUUUGUGAAAGUUUUUGCCGAGACUGCAGGGAUUCUCAAGAGAGACGCCAAAUGAAGUCAGGAGACCGCCAUGAUGGGGCCAGAAAGCACUGGAAAUUUAUACUCCCCUUUGUUUGCUUUGAGGAAUUGUGUAAGAUUUCUUCAAGAAGCCAUCUAAAUCCAGUAGCGGCUGCAGAACCACACCACACCGAGAAUCACGUGAGGACUCUGAGAGAUAGCUCUGCGUUCACACACCGCCUCUCCAACUUUCAAGCCUUGUGUGGUCUUUAGAGAGAAACCAGCUGCCAUAAUGUGCGUUGUCCUAUAGAGAGACCAAGGUGGCAAAAAACACCCCUGAGGAGUCCACUGGUCAGCAGCCAGUGAGAAACUGAAACCUGCAAUUCAACAACAAGUCAACGAGCCGUGAGAGUGGUCCUGGAAGUGAGUCCUCCCUCAGUCAAGCCUUGGAUGACUGCAUCCCUGAUCAACACCUUGAUUGCAUCCUCAUGAGAGAGCCUGAGGAAAGACCCAGUGAAGCCAUCUUUAGAUUCCUGCCCACAGAAACUGGGAGAAAAAUAAAUGUUUGCUGUUCUAGGUCAUUAACUUGUGGGGUUACUUAUCAUACAGCAACAGAUAAUUAAUACACAUGGUUUCAAAGAUGACUGGAUAUGGAUUAUAAAAGGGAAAAAAAUGCAAAACAACUUAUGACUUUUGCCUGUGAAAUGUACUUGCUAGUGUUAGAAAUGAUGACUUUGGGAGAAAGAACCACCUUGGGCAAAAGAGUCAAAUGAACUCUACUCUUGGUAAAAUUGAGGAAGUGGUUGGGCAUUCAGAAAUUAGAAAGGAGGGGUUAGAAAUUAGUGACCAUUCAUCCUUUUUAACGGACCCAGGAACGAGUGGGAAAGCUUUUCCUUACAAACUGUGCCAAACAUUUGGAAGAAGUACAAGAAGAAAGAGAGAAGGAAAGACGGAGAGAAAGACAGAGAGAUGGAGAAUAGAAGAAAAUAUAAUUAUGCUUUGGUAAAUAAUAAAACAUUUAUGGUAAUAUGUAGAAUUAUCAUUGAGGUUCCAGUGUAGAGUGUUGAAAAGUUGAAAACACUGUAGGGAAUGAUUUCCAUGAUCCCCAAUCUCUCAAAGAAAUUAUUUUACCUCAAAAUUAUGUUGAGAAUAUUCGAUCUCUCCCUUUAGAAAUUAAAGCAAUAGAAAAUGAAAGCACUGGCUUUAUAAUUUUGCAUCAAUGAUAUCAAUAUUUCAAGAAGAUUUUCAUGUUACUGCUCUCUAUUGUGCCAUCUGCAUUUUGGUAAGCAGGCUCUGAUUUCUUCCAUAAGUAACACUUAAUUCUCCAAAUUCUGGAAAGAGUAACUACUUUUAUAAGUGAAAAGUAGAAUUUCAAACUCCUUUAAAGUAACGUAAAUCAGAAUUCCCUAGACCCAUCAAAUUUCUCUAUAUUUUGUAACACUCUUUCAAUAUUUAACUAAUGAACAAACUUGCUUUUCAAAAUACUGUGAAUUGGUACAUGCAGAAUCAGUUUCUAAAUCAUUCAGGUAAGAAUCAUCUUGUUUGUCAGAAAGCAUUUACUUAAAUAAUACAUUUAGCAUAUUUUCACAUUAUUAUGGCAUUGAAAGUGAUGUUUGUUCCUUUAAAUAAUUCAAAUGAGUAAGACUGACUCUGUAUCUUGCAGGCACAAUCUGAAUUUUUACUGUACAAAUGGACUACAAAGCUAUUAGUGUAUUGCACACCUUAUUUUGAUUCAGAAAGGAUUUCUGUAUCUACACACUGUUAUCUUUUCUGUGAUAUUUUCAUUUCAGAUACAACUAAAAUUUCGAAUACCC
ensembl:lncRNA